rnacentral:rRNA from 1 species
GACGAACGCUGGCGGCGUGCUUAACACAUGCAAGUCGAACGAUGAAGAAAAGAAUUGAAGCUUCGGCAGAAAUUCAUUUCGGAUUAGUGGCGGACGGGUGAGUAACGCGUGAGCAACCUACCUCUUACAAAGGGAUAGCCUCGGGAAACCGGGAUUAAUACCAUAUAACAUUGCGACGAAGCAUUUCGAUGCAAUCAAAGCUACGGCGGUAAGAGAUGGGCUCGCGUCCCAUUAACCAGAUGGUGAGGUAACGGCUCACCAUAGUAACGAUGGGUAACCGGCCUGAGAGGGUGAACGGUCACACUGGAACUGAGACACGGUCCAGACUCCUACGGGAGGCAGCAGUGGGGAAUAUUGCACAAUGGAGGGAACUCUGAUGCAGCGACGCCGCGUGAGUGAUGAAGGAAUUCGUUUCGUAAAACUCUGUUCUAUGGGAAGAAAAGGACUGUACCAUAGGAGAAAGCUCCGGCUAAAUACGUG